rnacentral:rRNA from 1 species
GUGGGGAAUCUUCCGCAAUGGACGAAAGUCUGACGGAGCGACGCCGCGUGAGUGAUGAAGGCCUUCGGGUCGUAAAGCUCUGUCAUCGGGGACGAAUGGUCGUUGGAGUGGAAAGCCAGCGAAAUGACGGUACCCGAGAAGGAAGCCACGGCUAACUACGUGCCAGCAGCCGCGGUAAUACGUAGGUGGCAAGCGUUGUCCGGAAUUAUUGGGCGUAAAGCGCGCGCAGGUGGGAUCUUAAGUCCAUUUUGAAAGUUCGGAGCUCAACUCCGUGAUGGGAUGGAAACUGGGAUUCUUGAGUACCGGAGAGGAAAGCGGAAUUCCCCGUGUAGCGGUGAAAUGCGUAGAUAUGGGGAGGAACACCAGUGGCGAAGGCGGCUUUCUGGACGGUGUCUGACACUGAGGCGCGAAAGCCAGGGGAGCGAACGGGAUUAGAUACCCCGGUAGUCC